GCCGCUGCAAAUUCAGCGGCCUGGGAUUGGCGUCCCGGAAAGUACAGGCGGACAUGAACACCGCCCCGAGCGGUUUUUUU
rnacentral:sRNA from 1 species